AGUGAACGCUGGCGGUAGGCCUAACACAUGCAAGUCGAACGGCAGCACAGGAGAGCUUGCUCUCUGGGUGGCGAGUGGCGGACGGGUGAGGAAUACAUCGGAAUCUACUUUUUCGUGGGGGAUAACGUAGGGAAACUUACGCUAAUACCGCAUACGACCUACGGGUGAAAGCAGGGGACCUUCGGGCCUUGCGCGAUUGAAUGAGCCGAUGUCGGAUUAGCUAGUUGGCGGGGUAAAGGCCCACCAAGGCGACGAUCCGUAGCUGGUCUGAGAGGAUGAUCAGCCACACUGGAACUGAGACACGGUCCAGACUCCUACGGGAGGCAGCAGUGGGGAAUAUUGGACAAUGGGCGCAAGCCUGAUCCAGCCAUACCGCGUGGGUGAAGAAGGCCUUCGGGUUGUAAAGCCCUUUUGUUGGGAAAGAAAUCCAGCCGGCUAAUACCUGGUUGGGAUGACGGUACCCAAAGAAUAAGCACCGGCUAACUUCGUGCCAGCAGCCGCAGUAA
rnacentral:rRNA from 1 species